rnacentral:rRNA from 1 species
AGCAGCCGCGGUAAUUCCAGCUCCAAUAGCGUAUAUUAAAGUUGUUGCAGUUAAAAAGCUCGUAGUUGAAUUUCGAGAUCAGUACGCUGGUCGUGCCUUUGGUAUGCACUGGUGUCACUGGUUUCUCCCUUCUGAAGAACUGUCAUGCCAUUCAGUUGGUGUGGCGGGGAAUCAGGACUGUUACUUUGAAAAAUUAGAGUGUUUAAAGCAGGCUCGCGCUUGAAUACAUUAGCAUGGAAUAAUGAAAUAGGACGUUUGACCCUAUUUUGUUGGUUUCUAGGAUCGACGUAAUGAUUAAUAGGGAUAGUUGGGGGCAUUAGUAUUCAAUUGUCAGAGGUGAAAUUCUUGGAUUUAUUGAAGACUAACUACUGCGAAAGCAUUUGCCAAGGAUGUUUUCAUUAAUCAAGAACGAAAGUUAGGGGAUCGAAGACGAUCAGAUACCGUCGUAGUCUUAACCAUAAACUAUGCCGACUAGGGAUCGGAUGAUGUUAAUUUUUAAUGACUC